AGUUUGAUUCUGGCUCAGAUUGAACGCUGGCGGGAUGCUUUACACAUGCAAGUCGAACGGCAGCACGGACUUCGGUCUGGUGGCGAGUGGCGAACGGGUGAGUAAUGUAUCGGAACGUGCCUAGUAGCGGGGGAUAACUACGCGAAAGCGUAGCUAAUACCACAUACGCCCUUCGAGAAGCGGGGACCUUCGGGCCUCGCACUAUUAGAGCGGCCGAUAUCGGAUUAGCUAGUUGGUGGGGUAACAGCUCGCAAGGCGACGAUCCGUAGCUGGUUUGAGAGGACGACCAGCCACGCAGGACUGAGACACGGCCCAGACUCCUACGGGAAGGCAACAGUGGGGAAUUUUGGACAAUGGGGAAACCCUGAUCCAGCCAUCCCGCGUGUGCGAUGAAGGCCUUCGGGUUGUAAAGCACUUUUGGCAGAAAGAAACGGCACGGGAUAAUACCCCGUGCAACUGGCAAUGACCUGCAGAAUAAGCGCAAGCCAACUACGUGCACCAGCAGCCGCGGUAAUACGUAAGGUGCAAGCGUUAAUCGGAAUUACUGGGCGUAAAGCGUGCGCAGGCGGUUCGGAAAGAAAGAUGUGAAAUCCCAGAGCUUAACUUUUUGGAACUGCAUUUUUAACACCGAGUAGAGUGUGUCAGAGUGGAAUUCCGCGUGUAGCAGUGAAAUGCGUAGAUAUGCGGAGAGAGGAACACCGAUAGCGAAGGCAGCCUCCUGGGAUAACACUGACGCUCAUGCACGAAAGCGUGGGAGCAAACAGGAUUAGAUACCCUGGUAGUCCACGCCCUAAACGAUGUCAACUAGCUGUUGGGGCCUUCGGGCCUUGGUAGCGCAGCUAACGCGUGAAGUUGACCGCCUGGGGAGUACGGUCGCAAGAUUAAAACUCAAAAGGAAUUGACGGGGACCCGCACAAGCGGUGGAUGAUGUGGAUUAAUUCAAGGUGCAGCGCGAAGAGCGCCUACCUUGACAUGUCUGGAAUGCCGAAGAGAUUUGGCAGUGCUCUUAAGAGAACCGGAACACAGGUGCUGCAUGGCUGUCGUCAGCUCGUGUCGUGAGAUGUUGGGUUGGUCCCGCAACGAGCGCAGCCCUUGUCAUUAGUUGCUACGAAAGAGGGCACUCUAAUGAGACUGCCGGUGACAAACCGGAGGAAGGUGGGGAUGACGUCAAGUCCUCACAACCCUUAUGGUGGGGCUUCACACGUCAUACAAUGGUCGGGACAGAGGGUCGCCAACCCGCGAGGGAGCCAAUCCCAGAAACCCGAUCGUAGUCCGGAUCGCAGUCCGCAACUCGACUGCGUGAAGUCAGAAUCCUCGCUAGUAAUCGCGGAUCAGCAUGUCGCGGUAGACCACGUUCCCGGGUCUUGUACCACUGCCCGUCACACCAUGGGAGUGGGUUUUACCAGAAGUAGUUAGCCUAACCGCAAGAGGCGAUUACCACAGUAGGAUUCAUGACUGGGGUGAAGUCGUAACAAAGGUAG
rnacentral:rRNA from 1 species